rnacentral:rRNA from 1 species
GAUGAACGCUGGCGGCGUGCCUAAUACAUGCAAGUCGAGCGAACAGACGAGGAGCUUGCUCCUCUGACGUUAGCGGCGGAGGGGGGAGUAACACGUGUAUAACCUACUUAUAAGACUGGUAUAACUUCGGGAAACCGGAGCUAAUACCGGAUAAUAUAUUGAACCGCAUGGUUCAUUAGUGAAAGACGGCUUUGCGGGAACUUAUAGAUGGAUCCGCGCUGCUUUGGCUAGUUGUUAAGGAAACGGCUUACCAAGGGAACUAGGCGUAGCCGACCUGAGAGGGUGAUAGGCCACACUGGAGCUGAGACACGGUCCAGGCUCCUACGGGAGGCAGCAGUAGGGAAGCGUCCGCAAUGGGCGAAAGCCUGACGGAGCAACGCCGCGUGAGUGAUGAAGGUCUUCGGAUCGUAAAACUCUGUUAUUAGGGAAGAACAAAUGUGUAAGUAACUAUGCACGUCUUGACGGUACCUAAUCAGAAAGCCACGGCUAACUACGUG